GAGGAAUAUUGGUCAAUGGGCGAGAGCCUGAACCAGCCAAGUCGCGUGAAGGAAGACUGCCUUAUGGGUUGUAAACUUCUUUUAUACAGGAAUAAAAAGGCUUACGUGUAGGCCAUUGCAAGUACUGUAUGAAUAAGCAUCGGCUAACUCCGUGCCAGCAGCCGCGGUAAUACGGAUGAUGCGAGCGUUAUCCGGAUUUAUUGGGUUUAAAGGGUGCGCAGGGGGGCUUUUAAGUCAGCGGUGAAAUCUGGACGCUUAAAGUCCAAACUGCCGUUGGAACUGGGGGUUUUGAGUAUGGAUGAAGUAGGGGGGAUUCGUUGUGUAGCGGUGACAUGAAUACAUAUAACCAGGAACUCCGAUUGCGGAGGCAGCUUAAUAAGCCAUAACUUACGCUCAUGCACGAAAGCGUGGGGAUCAAACA
rnacentral:rRNA from 1 species